rnacentral:rRNA from 1 species
UACGGGGGGAGCAAGCGUUGUUCGGAUUUACUGGGCGUAAAGGGCGCGUAGGCGGCCAGCACAAGUCAGUUGUGAAAUCUCCGGGCUUAACUCGGAAAGGUCAACUGAUACUGUGCGGCUAGAGUGCAGAAGGGGCAACUGGAAUUCUCGGUGUAGCGGUGAAAUGCGUAGAUAUCGAGAGGAACACCUGCGGCGAAGGCGGGUUGCUGGGCUGACACUGACGCUGAUGAGCGAAAGCGUGGGUAGCGAACAGG